CAAUACUAGUGCCCAGCCAUGAUCAGUAACAUUUAAAAAUUAUGCAUUUCUCUUAGUUUGUUUGACCAUAAUAAUUAGAAUAGUCAAAUCGCCACCUUGCAAAGUACACCACAAUUUUCCCAACUUUGUGGCACUGAAGACUUUAGAAUCACUACCUUAACCUUACCUUUAAGAGAAAUGAUAAUUUGACACAUUUAUAGGGAGUUAGUAUUUUAAUUCAAAUAACACAGUUCUAUUUUUAAUCUUUCAGAAUUUUACCACAAUGAGAUUAUAACACAUUGGCUGUACCAAUAUAAUUAGCGCCAAGAAUCCAAUAAGUACACUACUGAACCAACAUUAAAGUUGAGAGGGGAGUGCCAGUUAGAUUUACCAAUAUAAUCUCUCCUAGCUUAAACCAGUUCUCGGGAUUCAAAUCCGAGCCUAAAAAUGCAGUAAUGUUACAAAUUUUGGGGAAAAUUUGAAUCCGAAUUCCCUGCCUGCGAGGCGGGAAAGGUAUGUGCCUUUCAAGCAACCACCUUGUCCAUUCGAUAAAUCGUGUGCUCCCUCCAAAAUAAGCCAUAUGUCAGACUUCUUUAGAGUUAAAAUAAAAACAGACAAACCCAAACUAAAACAUUGUGGUAUCGCACCGCCAACACACUACUACACUUCGCCGACCUGCAACGUGCUUCGUCUAGAAAAAUUGCUAUAUUGUUAGAUUGUGGUGGGACAAAACAAAAAGCAUACUAGAUGCAGAAGGAAACAAAAUUGCUCCCAAACGAUCUGAAAAUUUGCUCCCAAUAAAUGCAGAAUUAACUAUUUCUACAAAAGGAACAUGCAUCAAUGUCAAAUCAAAUGGAACAGGUGUCACCGUAUGCGGCAUGGCGCGGUACCGGCAGAGACAUGAAAGUAAAGGAAGGAAUGAAUUAUUGAAGCAAGCUAUUUUAUUCUGGAGUCAUAUCAGCCAUGUGAUAGUGUUGAGAUUUUGAAGUAAGCUCUUUUAAACAACAAAGUUGUUACGUAUUAUUACCACAGUUUGAUUCUUGACGAGGGAAAUACAGAGAAAUCACACGGGAUGGUUGUAGUUGCAUUGUAAGCAACAUAUGAAUACUUCAAAGAAAGCAAUAAGUUAUGUGAGGCAUUCAAUGCGGCUCCUCCAUUUUUAAGAGAAAAGACACGUGUUUCAAGAACUUGUGAUCCUUACUUAUUUUCUACAAGAGCCUUUAACAAUUUUUUGAAGAGCGUUCAUCUGUUACAAUUCGUCAAAAAAUUAUUAUAUUAUUGUCUUAGUAGAAAAUUAUGAAGCCAGUGAAAACUUGCCCAGACUUCAUAAUUUUUCUAGCUUCGCCACUGAGAAUAACCAAAUAUUUGUAGUUAAGAAAAAUACACAUAAGACUCAUUUCAAUUUAUAUGAGCAGUGGAAGUGUCUAAUGACGUUGUUUUAGAUUUGGUUUGGAAAGUGGAAGUGCCUUUCAAAAUUAAGGCGUUUGUAUGGAGACUUUGGUUUGGAAAGUGGAAGUGCCU